GUACUUURAAUAAAUCAUUAUGUCGAAAGUGUUCGUUAUUUUAUACCGAUUCUUUCCUAGAACCAACCAUUGUAUACAAACUGAAAGGGAGGCCAGAUACUAGUUUGUCUGUUUGAAACAGUACAAUGUCCACAUUGAAUGCAGAAAGCCACCCUCAAGGACAAGUUGUUGGAAACCGUAUAUACUAUGGCAACAACAGUAGCUAUGGUCUGUCCUGUUCCUUUGGUCCCUACACUAGACAAAAAGCUUUUAGCAUCAUAUUUUGCRUUUUGUUUAUAUUUGCAAUGGGUGUAUUGAAUUUGGCAUUGGGUAACCUUAUUGGCGGUCUGGUGUUUCUUGCUGUUAGCAUUAUGAUGUUGUCUAUUUUUAUCUGGUGCUGUUAUAGACACAGAACRCRCAAUCCAGGAAUGCAGCCCAGUGUGACCUUUAACCAUGUUCCUGGACAAGCAAUACCAGGACAGAACCAAAGUCCAAUGUAUCCAGCUGUGCAUAUAUACCCUCCUCAGCAACAUACAGCCCAGCCAUACCCAACACAGCAACAUUAUACCCCACCCUACCCUUCACAAAGUUACCCUAGUCAUGUAACCCAAGCACAGCACCCCACACAGACACCAUCAAUGUCAGCAGUACCAACACAAGGUGUACAAGCUCCUCUACAACCAAUGGGAGAGCCUUUGGCCCAGCCUCCACCAACAUAUGAGGAAUCUAUGGCUUUGACACAGAAAUAAUGAUAAUUUAUUCACUGUUUUUUGUUUCUUUUGAGUUUUUUUUGCCAUUUUUGUAUUUUUUUACAGAUUAUUGAAUUAAUGGAAAUUGUUGUCUAAACGACAUCAUAAUAUAAAAAUUAGAUAACACAUAGCGGAGCUCCAAUCAAUGCAGAAGAAAAUUAUUAUUUAGUACUACUAUUUCAAGGAUAGCCUUAUAGYAGAGUAGAGAAUGCUGUUUUGUUGACAUGCAAACAAAUAUUAUAAACUUAGCAAAAGAGUAYGAAUAUGAAAAUUUCGUACUCUGAAUAAUUUAUUAACAUAAGUUAUUAC